rnacentral:rRNA from 1 species
ACGCCGCGGGGCUGCAUGGCCCUGCGGCCAAAGGGAGCGAUUCCGGCAACGGAUGGGCAUGCGUGACAUUAGCUAGUUGGCGGGGCAACGGCCCACCAAGGCGACGAUGUCUAGGGGUUCUGAGAGGAAGGUCCCCCACACUGGUACUGAGACACGGACCAGACUCCUACGGGAGGCAGCAGUGAGGAAUAUUGGUCAAUGGGCGCGAGCCUGAACCAGCCAAGUCGCGUGAGGGAUGACGGCCCUACGGGUUGUAAACCUCUUUUGUCGGGGAGCAAAUUCCGCCACGUGUGGCGGAGUCGAGAGUACCCGAAGAAAAAGCAUCGGCUAACUCCGUGCCAGCAGCCGCGGUAAUACGGAGGAUGCGAGCGUUAUCCGGAUUUAUUGGGUUUAAAGGGUGCGUAGGCGGACUGUCAAGUCAGCGGUAAAAUACGGGGGCUCAACCUCCGCCCGCCGUUGAAACUGACGGUCUUGAGUGGGCGAGAAGUAUGCGGAAUGCGUGGUGUAGCGGUGAAAUGCAUAGAUAUCACGCAGAACUCCGAUUGCGAAGGCAGCAUACCGGCGCCCAACUGACGCUGAAGCACGAAAGCGUGGGUAUCGGACAGGAUUAGAUACCCUGGUAGUCCACGCAGUAAACGAU